GCUAUGGCUUUAUUUAAAGCCAUAAGCAAUUUUAAGCAAUUUUUG
rfam:Ictidomys tridecemlineatus contig077119, whole genome shotgun sequence.